rnacentral:rRNA from 1 species
AAUUUUGGACAAUGGGCGCAAGCCUGAUCCAGCCAUUCCGCGUGAGUGAAGAAGGCCUUCGGGUUNUAAAGCUCUUUCGCAAGGGANGAAACGAUGCAGUCGAAUAAACUGCGUUAAUGACGGUACCUUGAUAAGAAGCACCGGCUAACUACGUGCCAGCAGCCGCGGUAAUACGUAGGGUGCGAGCGUUAAUCGGAAUUACUGGGCGUAAAGCGUGCGCAGGCGGUUUUGUAAGUCAGAUGUGAAAUCCCCGGGCUCAACCUGGGAACUGCGUUUGAAACUACAAGGCUAGAGUGUAGCAGAGGGGGGUAGAAUUCCACGUGUAGCAGUGAAAUGCGUAGAGAUGUGGAGGAAUACCAAUGGCGAAGGCAGCCCCCUGGGUUAACACUGACGCUCAUGCACGAAAGCGUGGGGAGCAAACAGG